GACAGUUCGGUCCCUAUCUGCCGUGGGCGCUGGAGAACUGAGGGGGGCUGCUCCUAGUACGAGAGGACCGGAGUGGACGCAUCACUGGUGUUCGGGUUGUCAUGCCAAUGGCACUGCCCGGUAGCUAAAUGCGGAAGAGAUAAGUGCUGAAAGCAUCUAAGCACGAAACUUGCCCCGAGAUGAGUUCUCCCUGACCCUUUAAGGGUCCUGAAGGAACGUUGAAGACGACGACGUUGAUAGGCCGGGUGUGUAAGCGCAGCGAUGCGUUGAGCUAACCGGUACUAAUGAACCGUGAGGCUUAACCUUACAACGCCGAAGGUGUUU
rnacentral:rRNA from 1 species